rnacentral:rRNA from 1 species
UACGUAGGGGGCAAGCGUUGUCCGGAAUCAUUGGGCGUAAAGCGCGUGUAGGCGGCUCGGUAAGUCUGCUGUGAAAGUCCAGGGCUCAACCCUGGGAUGCCGGUGGAUACUGUCGAGCUCGAGUCCGGAAGAGGCGAGUGGAAUUCCUGGUGUAGCGGUGAAAUGCGUAGAGAUCGGGAGGAACACCAGAGGCGAGGGCGGCGACCUGGACAGGCACUGACACUCAACUACGAAAGCGUGGGGAGCAAACAGG